GACGAACGCUGGCGGCGUGCUUAACACAUGCAAGUCGAACGGAAAGGCCCUGCUUGCAGGGUACUCGAGUGGCGAACGGGUGAGUAACACGCGGGUGUUCUGCCCUGCACUUCGGGGUAUGCCUUGGAGACUCUGGCUAAUAUCGCAGAGGAGCCCUCCUGCUGCUGGUGGUUGGAAAGAAUUUUCGGUGUAGUAUGAGCUCGCGGCCUUUCUGUCUGUUGGUGGGGGAAUGGGCUACCAAGGCGGCGUCGGGUAGCUGGCCGGCGAGGGUGGACGGCCACAUUGGGAAUGAGAUACGGGCCAGACUCCUACGGGAGGCAGCAGAGGGGAAUAUUGCACAAUGGGCGCAAGCCUGAUGCGGCGAAGCCGCGUGGGGGAGGACGGCCCUCGGGUUGUAAACUCCUUUCGCUAGGGACGAAGCUUUUUGUGACGGUACCUGGAUAAGAAGCACCGGCUAACUACGUG
rnacentral:rRNA from 1 species